rnacentral:rRNA from 1 species
CACGCCGUAAACGAUGAUAACUAGGUGUUGGCGUAAGUCAGUGCCGAAGUAAACACAUUAAGUUAUCCGCCUGGGGAGUACGACCGCAAGGUUGAAACUCAAAGGAAUUGACGGGGACCCGCACAAGCAGCGGAGCAUGUGGUUUAAUUCGAAGCAACGCGAAGAACCUUACCAGGCCUUGACAUCCUCUGACCACCUUAGAGAUAAGGGAUUCCCUUCGGGGACAGAGAGACAGGUGG